GAGGGUAUAGUUCAAGUGUUAGAGCACAUGCUUAGCAUGUGUGAGGUCCUGGGUUCAAUCCCCAGUACCUCCU
rnacentral:tRNA from 1 species